GUCCCCAUCGUCUAGAGGCCUAGGACACCGCCCUUUCACGGCGAUAACGGGGGUUCGAAUCCCCCUGGGGACG
rnacentral:tRNA from 1 species